UGAAGUGCUAAGUGUUGGAGGGUUUCCGCCCUUCAGUGCUGCAGCUAACGCAUUAAGCACUCCGCCUGGGGAGUACGACCGCAAGGUUGAAACUCAAAGGAAUUGACGGGGGCCCGCACAAGCGGUGGAGCAUGUGGUUUAAUUCGAAGCAACGCGAAGAACCUUACCAGGUCUUGACAUCCUUUGACCACUCUAGAGAUAGAGCUUCCCCUUCGGGGGCAAAGUGACAGGUGGUGCAUGGUUGUCGUCAGCUCGUGUCGUGAGAUGUUGGGUUAAGUCCCGCAACGAGCGCAACCCUUAUUGUUAGUUGCCAUCAUUUAGUUGGGCACUCUAGCAAGACUGCCGGUGACAAACCGGAGGAAGGUGGGGAUGACGUCAAAUCAUCAUGCCCCUUAUGACCUGGGCUACACACGUGCUACAAUGGGAAGUACAACGAGUCGCAAAGUCGCGAGGCUAAGCUAAUCUCUUAAAGCUUCUCUCAGUUCGGAUUGUAGGCUGCAACUCGCCUACAUGAAGCCGGAAUCGCUAGUAAUCGCGGAUCAGCACGCCGCGGUGAAUACGUUCCCGGGCCUUGUACACACCGCCCGUCACACCACGAGAGUUUGUAACACCCGAAGUCGGUGAGGUAACCUUUUGGAGCCAGCCGCCUAAGGUGGGAUAGAUGAUUGGGGUGAAGUCGUAACAAGGUAACCGUAAGGGUAGAUGAG
rnacentral:rRNA from 1 species